rnacentral:pre_miRNA from 1 species
GCUUCAAUUCACGCGCUCUCUCACCGGUCAGAGUGUCGAGAGAGUGUGUGAAAUGAAGAGA